UUUCGCCUGACUGUAAAAAGAGAUGUUGACGAGAAACAGCGACACCGCAGGCUGAUGAACUCUAACGCAUGUAACUUCUCAAUAUAUGAUCCUUGAGGGCACCAAAUCUCUCACACUUGAGAGUCUUGAGGAACUUAAGGAUCUUGAGCUUGAAGAUAUUGCAGCUGCAGGUGUGUCCUUAGCACUAUGUCAAGGCUCAUGGGAAAUCCUCCUACACUAUUUUCCCAGCCCUUGACCAUUCGGGUAAGGACAGCGAGGAGAUUCAACAUUGGUCCGUGUCUCCAAUUUGAUGGAGAAUCCACAACACUCAUCUUGUUUCACAGAUAUAUUUGCAUAUAGCAUGGAAA